rnacentral:sRNA from 1 species
GCUGGGCGCAGUGGCACACGCCUGUAAUCCCAGUGGCUUGGGAGGCUGAGGCAGGAGAAUGGAGAGUUCAAAGCCAUCCUCAGCAAUGGUGAGGCACUAAGCAACUCAGUGAAACCCUGUCUCUA